rnacentral:rRNA from 1 species
UACGGAGGGGGCUAGCGUUACUCGGAAUUAUUGGGCGUAAAGGGCGCGUAGGCGGUCGUGUGCGUCAGAGGUGAAAUCCCCGGGCUUAACCCGGGAGCUGCCCCUGAUACGGCAUGGCUUGAGUCCGGGAGAGGAGAGCAGAAUUCCCAGUGUAGCGGUGAAAUGCGUAGAUAUUGGGAGGAAUACCGGUGGCGAAGGCGGCUCUCUGGACCGGUACUGACGCUGAGGCGCGAAAGCGUGGGUAGCAAACAGG